rnacentral:lncRNA from 12 species
GGCAGAUGAACGGCUCACUUUUCACAAGUUACCCCCAAAAGGCCAGAUUUCAAAUAGAAAAAUAGUCACUGUCAAGCCUUUCCGUAAGAGAAAUGGCAGGUAGCCCAAACUAGUACCAGUUUCUUACGGAGGCAGAGCAAUUCUACACAAAACUGACUCUUUAUCAAGAUGAGGCGGGAAACUCAUACCUGAUCUUCAAAUUACCUCUCUAAAUUUUACAAUUGGUUCUUCAUAAUGAUAAGGAAUAAAGGACAUCCCAAGUUGACCAUAGAACUCCUGCCUACAUUAGACUCUUGUUGACAGCUGCUAGCUGACUUGGUCUUCACCUCCGAAGAGGAGCACAUGUACAGCAUUUUAAAGCAACUGAUAAAGUCUCUUCGAAUUCAGAAGCUAGUACUGACCAAAAUGUGUGAACAGUGUAGAGACAGCAUAGGAGAGGUUGGGGUUAACCCAAAAGAUACAAUUUCAGCACACAUAAGAAAGCUAGCUGCUAUUUUAUGCUUUCUUCAAUGGUUCUCCUCUUCUUCCUUUUUUCUCUUUUUCCAGUUUUUCAAAGGUGUACAGUGUCCCAUACUUGCUUUUAAAAAGUCAUAUGGCAUUCACGCUUGUUUUCUCAGAUGGGUUUUGUGUGCAGAUGCAGUAAGAAUUCCUUGUUCAUUCUAA